GAUGAACGCUAGCGGCAGGCUUAAUACAUGCAAGUCGAGGGGCAGCACGAAUAGCAAUAUUUGGUGGCGACCGGCAAACGGGUGCGGAACACGUACGCAACCUUCCUUUAAGUGGAGAAUAGCCCGGGGGAAACCCGGAUUAAUACUCCGUAACAUUAUAAAGUGGCAUCACUUAGUAAUUAUAGAUUUAUCGCUUAAAGAUGGGCGUGCGCCUGAUUAGGUAGUUGGCGGAGUAAUAGCCCACCAAGCCUGCGAUCAGUAACUGGUGUGAGAGCACGACCAGUCACACGGGCACUGAGACACGGGCCCGACUCCUACGGGAGGCAGCAGUAAGGAAUAUUGGUCAAUGGACGCAAGUCUGAACCAGCCAUGCCGCGU
rnacentral:rRNA from 1 species